rnacentral:piRNA from 1 species
UGAGACCAUUUCCCUACGCUUUGCUGC